rnacentral:lncRNA from 1 species
AGAUCCCCAUGCUCUGCUCCUUCCUCCCUCCCCUCCCCUCUGGCAAGAUCCAGCGUGCGUCCUCCCUCUCCUCGAUCUAGAUCGGGGCACCUCGUCGCCCCGCCUUCGUCUCCCUCUGUCUCCCACCUGAUGGAGCCCGCGGUGGGGGGAAGCGAGGGGCCAAACACCCGCUUCCAACACACAAGGUCUCGGCUUCCCCUCCCAUCGCCGCACCACUCGUCCGCUAGCUCCCCACGCAGGCGGAUUUGGAUCGAGGCGGCCGUCGUCGGCGGCGGCAGCGGGCUGGGUACCAUGAGCGCUGUGCUCGCCAUCUGACACCAUCCUCCAGUGGUGGGGAUUCAACAUCGCCGUCAUCAACAAGCGGGUAUUCUAGGUAUCCCCUUCUCCCCUCUCGCAUCUCAUCUUACCACUGCCCAGACCAGGAUGCCACCACGCUUGCUCAGAUCUGCGUUUCAAGAUGCCACCAGGCUCCACUUCUUGACCAGAUUUCGUAAAUGUGCCGCCAGAUCUUGCCACACUGGGCAUCAGGACCGCUGGAUGCUUCUCUCACGGUGGUCAAGCCAAGCUCUCCUACGGUGGUUAGAACGGGCGUCGUCAACCCUGCCGCCCCCUCUUCCGCCGGGUCUCCCAAGAGGUCGUGCAUCCUGCCGCGACCACCUCUACUACGUGACGGUGGUGGCCGACCUGCAAUGCGACCGCUGCAUCGCCAGUAACCUCUUCGGUGAGCACUUUACCUCUGCCUCCCUCCUCUGCCUAGAUCCCGUGACUGAGCCACACUCUGUAGCAUGUAGAUUACUGCUUGUAUGGCCAUGAGGAAUGAAAUAAUUUUGCAGCUAAUAAUUCUAGUUUCUUGUUGGAGGAAUUGCUGCACCACUAGUUGUUUCUAUUGUGUGCUGGACAGUCGAUGUGGAUAGCCUGCAUGCUGUUUCUUAGGACAUUAAGCUACGGAAGGAUAAACUGACAUAAGUAUGCUAGUCUGAAGGGUCGAUAACUCACAUUUGUUUCUGAAUUUAGUUGGUUUAUCUGUCUGUGGUCCUCAAUGUAUUAAAUGACAGCCAAAGGUAUCCAUCUAUAGAGGCUUAUCUACUAACUGUUGGACCUUGGAGGCUUAUAGUGCGAUGAAAGCCAAAUUUAUCUAACUAGCCAGUCGACAGGCUAAAACAACUAGCUAUAAAAUGACAUCAAGUUCUGGUUUACAUGCUAUUCUCGUCGUUCAUGCCGACAGACCUUCUGUUGUAGUGUUUAGAGUAGAUUGAGUCUGCCAGCCCUCCUUUUUGUUUUUGUUCUUAUUUUGGACAGAUGCUUGGGGUGCAUACUUUCUAGAAUCUGCAUUUGGAUUUGCAGUUCGCAUUGUCGAAGAAAAUUGUCGAUUGUUUGAUUGAUGUUCUGACUUUUAUGUGGACCAGUCGUCCAUUCUCUAAAUCAUUCUUUUAAUCCUGCUACCCUUUUUGUAUCCAUGUACUGUUUAUCUUGUUUAAGCAUUAGUGUAUACUUUUCUUUCAGCAAUGGCAACACAAGCAGGAACCUUGGCUACUCCUCGUUUAAGUCCCCAAGUGGUAGGGUUCUCUGUUCAUGGGAGUCACCAUCUAGGCAUGCUUGAUGCUUCACCAGAAUGCUGCAUUGUUCUUUAGCUGUCGAUUGUCUGUGUAGAUUGACUGUAUCGAGUUGAGGGCUUGAGGCAGGUUGUAGGUGAUUAGAACAACCACCUGUUAAGUAAGAUCAGUUGUACUGUAUGCUCUGAACAUAAGCUUGUGCUGCUGCCAGUGUAGUGUAUGCUCUGAACACAAGAUCCUUUACUUGCUCUGGUUUGGUUAAGACUGAUGAUGCCGUGGAUAAGAAAACAAUUUAAAAGGUCUGUUGAAACAAGGUGGAAGCAUGUUUUUUCUUGCAACGUACCCUAAACCCCUAAACCCUUUUUAUUUGAACUUGUUAGUUAUGUUCUGGAGUCUGGAAUUUUUGAAUCAAUAUCUAUCUGAUUAAUGCAUGCCUUGUUUUGUUUUUUAGUUUGUUGCAAAACAUAUAUCUGGUGUAUCUGAUUAGUUAUGUUGUAAAAGAAUGCUUGUCUCUGACACUGUUAUUCUUACGUUGAUAUAUGUGCCCAGGUUUGUGUGUUUUGAAUCAAUAUCUAUCCGAUUAAUUAAUGACCAUGGUGAGCUAGAUCCAAACAAACAAGACACUUACAUUAACUUGGCACUUUGAGUCCUUGUAAUUCUGAUAGUGUGGAACUAUAUUUUGUACACAUAGUCAACUAGUUUUCGUUUUAUAUUUGCUUGCUUAUGUGGAACUAUAUUUUCUCAUUUUUCUAAUUAUGACAUGGAUGAUAUGAAAUAUCAGAAUUGUUUCUGUUACAUGGUGUGCUGCAGGAAAGCCCCUGUGUAGGUUUAUUGUCUCGUAAUUGGGCAAUUAUUUUCUUGCAGGGGGCCACCCGUUCUAGCUCGCUUUGACCCUCUUUUGCUCUGUAGUGGUCUUGGUACAUGAAAAGCAGGUCCUUUUAAAUGUUUUGCUUCCUUGGUUGCAUUCUGCUGUACACUCAAAAAUAUUUUCAAUUUAGUGACAAGCAAACAAUAAAAUAGUCAAAAGGCUUUUAUUUAAUGUGCUUUUCGAAAAUGACAAUGUGUUGUGAUGUUCUCCUCUUUCUGUUGACAUGUAUGUUGAGUAAUAUCAAGCCAUAAUUAUAGUCACUCCAAGACAUGCUCAAAUGUAGUCGCACGUACAGAUUUGUGUGGCUGAGGUACAGUUUUAAGAUGAGAUACAUAUAUAUGGAACAUGAAAGUAUUACCGUUUGUUAGGACAUGAUGACUGUUUGUUUACUACUUUAUGAUUUUGUGUAGAGUUGUGUCCUUCUUGUCCCCUUUUACCCAAGGCCAUCUUGUUGUGUCAAUGGCUGUGUUGCCGUUUCAAGUUUUGUGUAUGUGCAUAUGUACAUAGCAGUAGACUAGACUGUUGUGAUCGUAUAUUACCUUCAUCCCUUCUUAGAUUUAUCUAGAUACGGAUGUAUCUAACACUAAAAUGUGUCUAUACAUCCGUAUCUAGACAAAUCUAAGACAAGAAUUUUGGGACGGAGGCAAUGUUUUCGUGUUGUUGAGUCGUUCUGGGGUAGCGACUCUUGACGAGUUGUGCCUGGCUGAUCGACUAGUCUCUACUAGUCGAGAGGUUGAGUCGACAUCUGGCAGUGCAGCUCGUCGACUAGUCGCGUGGAUGGAGGGAGUACUUGCUUUGCAGCCCGACAAGACAAUAUUGUGAUUGCUGGAAACUGAACUCUCUUUUAUGUUUGGUUGAUGCAGUUCCUUCCAUUCAUUUAUUUGUUUCUUCGAUUUGGAUGCAACAGGUUCCCUUCAUGAACGAGGACAUGGGCAUGUACCUCGACGAUGAGCUCAUCCACCACUACCACCUCGACUCCGCGUGCAAGGUCAAUUCCUCUCUCUCGUCUGUGAGGUUUUUUUUUCAAGUUUUGUCUUCUCCGUUGUAGCCUGCUAGUUUCUAUUCUGGUCCUGAAACCAAACUAGGUAGGAUGGCCUUGUGACCUCCUGAAUGUCGAGGCUUUGGUUGUCAUAUCGUGUUUGGUUGAUCCUGUAUGAUAUGUACUCGCUUGAUGGUCACCUAUUAGCUAAGGUUCUCAUAUCAUGUUUGGUGCUCAUAUGUGCUUGCUUGAUGGUUCUCAUAUCAUGUUUGGUGGAUCCUUUAUCAUGUUUGGUUCUCAUUAGCUAAGAUUGUUAUGUUUUGCUACUGAAUCGUAUUUUAUCAGCCUGCACGUGAUCAAGCUCACUCUUAUUAUUAAUUGCCAACAAUUGCUAAUACACACAGUUUUCCCAUGUUAUUAUCGAUGUUCUACUCUAGGACGGUUUCUAGACACUCGCAUUGUGUGUGCUCCUCUUCACACUAGACUCUUUAGUUUCUAUCUCAUGUUCAUAGCGUUCUAGUUUGUCGACGACAUAGUAUCCCCUAUGAUCUCUUAGUGAAAUGAGAGGUUUGAUUGAUGCUGUAUGGGAUUGGCUAGUUUUGCUUAAUGCCAUAUGUCUUAUGCAAUCAGAUUACAAUUCUGUUUGUUAUUGUAAUAUAAAAAAUAAUCGUGUUGUCAAAAUUUUCACAGUGCGUGCCUUUUAUUUCUUUGUUUGAUUCUUUCCCUUGUAUUCAAUAUGCUUCUAAUGCCUGAUCCUUUCAUUUUUGUUGUGGCAUCUUUAUUUUCACAGGUGUUGUGUGUCCUGGAAGAUGGAAGAGGAAGAAAGCUUAUUUUUGUUGAACUAAAUUUCCUGUAUUUUGUUUUGUUGUAUGUAUCAUUUGAUAGUUUUGUAUAGGAACAAGUGAUACUAUUUUGAAGGGCUUUAUGGCCGGUGAUGUAAACAUAUUUAGUGCUGAAAUAUGAAAUUAUUUGCAAAAUUUCUUGAAAAGGAGGAUCAUUUGUAUGAAUAUGCGAAUGGGCUGAAAAGAGUAUUGGACCAACUCCUGGAUUGAAUUAUUAUUUG